rnacentral:rRNA from 1 species
CCAAUAGCGUAUAUUAAAGUUGUUGCAGUUAAAAAGCUCGUAGUUGAAUUUCGGGGUCAGUAGGUUGGUCAUGCCACCGGUAUGUACUGGUCUCACUGAUUCCUCCUUCCUGAUGAACCGUAAUGCCAUUAAUUUGGCGUUGCGGGGAGACUGGACUGUUACUUUGAAAAAAUUAGAGUGUUUAAAGCAAGCUAACGCUUGAAUACAUUAGCAUGGAAUAAUGAAAUAGGACGUUCGAUCCUAUUUUGUUGGUUUCUAGGAUUGACGUAAUGAUUAAUAGGGAUAGUUGGGGGCAUUAGUAUUCAAUUGUCAGAGGUGAAAUUCUUGGAUUUAUUGAAGACUAACUACUGCGAAAGCAUUUGCCAAGGAUGUUUUCAUUAAUCAAGAACGAAAGUUAGGGGAUCGAAGACGAUCAGAUACCGUCGUAGUCUUAACCAUAAACUAUGCCGACUAGGGAUCGGAUGAUGUUAAUUUUAUAAUGACUCAUUCGGCGCCUUACG